CCCAGAUAACAGGCCUCAUCUGUCUGUGUUAGUGGAUCAGGAGCCCUGUCCCCGAGGUGGUCAACCAGCCCAGAUAACAGGCCUCAUCUGUCUGUGUUAGUGGAUCAGGAGCCCUGUCCCCGAGGUGGUCAACCAGCCCAGAUAACAGGCCACAUCUGUCUGUGUUAGUGGAUCAGGAGCCCUGUCCCCGAGGUGGUCAACCAGCCCAGAUAACAGGCCUCAUCUGUCUGUGUUAGUGGAUCAGGAGCCCUGUCCCCGAGGUGGUCAACCAGCCCAGAUAACAGGCCUCAUCUGUCUGUGUUAGUGGAUCAGGAGCCCUGUCCCCGAGGUGGUCAACCAGCCCAGAUAACAGGUCUCAUCUGUCUGUGUUAGUGGAUCAGGAGCCCUGUCCCCGAGGUGGUCAACCAGCCCAGAUAACAGGCCUCAUCUGUCUGUGUUAGUGGAUCAGGAGCCCUGUCCCCGAGGUGGUCAACCAGCCCAGAUAACAGGUCUCAUCUGUCUGUGUUAGUGGAUCAGGAGCCCUGUCCCCGAGGUGGUCAAC